rnacentral:rRNA from 1 species
AGUGAACGCUGGCGGUAGGCCUAACACAUGCAAGUCGAACGGCAGCACAGUAAGAGCUUGCUCUUACGGGUGGCGAGUGGCGGACGAGUGAGGAAUACAUCGGAAUCUACUUUUUCGUGGGGGAUAACGUAGGGAAACUUACGCUAAUACCGCAUACGACCUACGGGUUAAAGCAGGGGAUCUUCGGACCUUGCGCGAUUGAAUGAGCCGAUGUCGGAUUAGCUAGUUGGCGGGGUAAAGGCCCACCAAGGCGACGAUCCGUAGCUGGUCUGAGAGGAUGAUCGGCCACACUGGAACUGGGACACGGUCCAGACUCCUACGGGAGGCAGCAGUGGGGAAUAUUGGACAAUGGGCGCAAGCCUGAUCCAGCCAUACCGCGUGGGUGAAGAAGGCCGUCGGGUUGUAAAGCCCUUUUGUUGGGAAAGAAAAGCAGCAGGUUAAUACCCCGCUGUUCUGACGGUACCCGAAGAAUAAGCACCGGCUAACUUCG